AUUGAACGCUGGCGGCAUGCCUUACACAUGCAAGUCGAACGGCAGCGGACCUUCGGGUGCCGGCGAGUGGCGAACGGGUGAGUAAUAUAUCGGAACGUACCUUUCAGUGGGGGAUAACGUAGCGAAAGUUACGCUAAUACCGCAUAUUCUGUGAGCAGGAAAGCAGGGGAUCGCAAGACCUUGCGCUGAUUGAGCGGCCGAUAUCAGAUUAGCUAGUUGGUGAGGUAAAGGCUCACCAAGGCGACGAUCUGUAGCGGGUCUGAGAGGAUGAUCCGCCACACUGGAACUGAGACACGGUCCAGACUCCUACGGGAGGCAGCAGUGGGGAAUUUUGGACAAUGGGCGCAAGCCUGAUCCAGCCAUGCCGCGUGAGUGAAGAAGGCCUUCGGUUGUAAGACGUCUUUCGGCCGGGAAGAAGUACGCACAGGUUAAUACCCUGUGUGGAUGACGGUACCGGAA
rnacentral:rRNA from 1 species